GUAGGUGGCAAGCGUUGUCCGGAAUUAUUGGGCGUAAAGCGCGCGCAGGCGGUUCUUUAAGUCUGAUGUGAAAGCCCACGGCUCAACCGUGGAGGGUCAUUGGAAACUGGAGAACUUGAGUAUAGAAGAGGAAAGCGGAAUUCCACGUGUAGCGGUGAAAUGCGUAGAGAUGUGGAGGAACACCAGUGGCGAAGGCGGCUUUCUGGUCUGUAACUGACGCUGAGGCGCGAAAGCGUGGGGAGCAAACAGGAUUAGAUACCCUGGUAGUCCACGCCGUAAACGAUGAGUGCUAAGUGUUAGGGGGUUUUCCGCCCCCCUUAGUGCUGCAGCUAACGCAUUAAGCACUCCGCCUGGGAGUACGGCCGCAAGGCUG
rnacentral:rRNA from 1 species